UACCCAGCACCCCGAGUGGUCGGGACGUUUUAUUGGGCCUAAAGCAUCCGUAGCCGGUUCUACAAGUCUUCCGUUAAAUCCAGCUGCUUAACAGAUGGGCUGCGGAAGAUACUAUGGAGCUAGGAGGCGGGAGAGGCAAGCGGUACUCGAUGGGUAGGGGUAAAAUCCGUUGAUCCAUUGAAGACCACCAGUGGCGAAGGCGGCUUGCCAGAACGCGCUCGACGGUGAGGGGAUGAAAAGCUGGGGGGAGCAAACCGG
rnacentral:rRNA from 1 species